GGGCUGGUAGCUUAAUGGGAGAGCGACUGUUUUGCACGCAGUUAGGUGAGGGUUCGAGUCCCUUCUGGUCCAC
rnacentral:tRNA from 4 species